GAUUGGAGAGAGGCGGCGUGCUAAACACACACUGGUGGAGCUACUGGGGGAGAGCAGCGCAGGGAUUGGCCGAGAGCACCGUCACUCAAGCAUCAAACGCUCUCCGACUUCCUCUGUCCUCCUUUCCUGGCGCAGCCUGGGAGGAGGGAGUGGGAUGGAUCGUUUGUGUGUGAGCCUCCGUAGCUGCUCCUUGCCACCUGUCCUUGACUUACUGUGCACAGACGGGGCUGAAAGGAAGUGCUGCCCACGCCUCUGUGGCAUCUUUCUCUCCAUGUUUGUGUGAGUGGCUGUGGUUUUUAAAUCUGUCACUGUGUGUGCAUGUGCGUGCGUGUGUGUGUGCGUGCGUGCGUGUGUGCCGGUCUUCCUUCUACUUGUGGUGUUUCACUGGAGUGGCGAAGGGAGGAACGCUCGUCCUCGGCCGGCGGAGCUCUGAUGGGAGGCAGCGCCGGCUCUGGUUGGGACUGGGGAUGCUGAACGGGGGGAGGGAGGGCCUGUUUGAGCUGGGACAGCAGCUCCAGCAGCAGGGGGAGUACCAGGCCGCCCUCCACUGCUUCCUCAGCUGCCUGUUGGGACUGACCCAUGUGCAGAGUUUCACCUCUCUGCCCAACUGCCUGCACCAGAUUGCAGAACUCUUCAUCACUGAGAAGAAUUAUGGAAAGGCCCUGCAGUUCAUCCAGGCGGAAAAAAUGUUUUAUGAGGUGGCGCUGAUCGAACUCACAGCUCAUCAGGGGACCACAGGGCCUCAUGAGGAGGCAACACUAGGCUCUGCACAAUGGACGACCCCCGAGGAGCUUUCGGAGCAGGCCUCCCAGGCUCAGCACCUCGAGCGCCUGGCCCAGCUCUGCAUCAUGAGCAAACAGCCACAUCUUGCGUUAGAAUACAGUGGUAAGGCUACAAAGAUCCACCAGAGGGCCUUUGGUAACGACCACCCAAUUACAGCCAGGAGCCUGGAGCUCAUGGCCACCGUCUAUGCUGAGAUUGGGAAGACUGAAUAUUCAGACUCGCUGGGUCAGUGUGUGUCCGCGCUGUCCAAGCGCUACGCGGCUGCAGAGUCCAUCAGAGACACUGUCAACUGCAUUCAUCAUUCCCACCGGGACAAACAUGCGGAUGUCCGACACAGGAAGGACAAUGUCCACCAACAGGAGGAUGCAGCAAAGCCUAAGGUGACCAACGGGAGAGUCCCAACCUCCAUUCUAAAGAGGCCAGGCUGCAACCACGGCUCAGAACCAGAACCCAACCACAAGCGGAAAGGAGAGCGGAGGGUUCGAUUCAGGGAGCCAGAGACCACAGUACACGACAUUCCUUACUGUGACUGUUUAGGUGCCUACGAGGCGGCGCCGUCGCGGCCCCACCUCGCCCUCUUCACCUGCCUCUUCCUGCUGAUGUCAUUCCUGGGCGUGGCCAUGUACUGCACGGAGCGGCGGCGGCCGCAGCGGCUGUGCGAGGAGCUGGAGGCGGCGCUGGCCGUCUACCUGCUGCACAUGAAGCAGCUGGUGUGGGGCUGCUGGAUAUGGCUGACCAUGCAGUGACUGAGACCAGCCACAGGUGGCGACGUGGAGCCUCCUUCACGCUCUCUUAUUGUUACCUUUAAAGGUGCCCAGGCCUUCAAACACCUCAGCCAGGGGUACAGUAAGGCUCUGAGGUCUCACAGAGACAGACGGGAAACUUGUUUAACCCCAGAAACAUGUAGCUUCCAUGUCUUUAUGUGUAUAUGUGCUACAGCGGCAGGAAUGCUGCUCUUUAUAUCAGCUAUAUUGACGUUUUCCACAUGUGCUGUUGAUGCUCACAUUUAACAUACACUUAAUCACCACAAACGUGACUUUUCAGUUAAUGUCACAGUUCGAUGCCCCUCCUCCGCGUGAGAGCACACGAUCCUAGGAAUCACAGAGAAGAUUGGAAUUCACGGAGGACCGUGGCUCUGAGGGACCGGGGCUAUCGACCUGCUCUGUCAUUGAGUGAAUGUUCCCAUAGAAUGCAAAUAUUUAAUUUGUUACAGAGCGUAACUUGUGUAUAUCAGAUACUACACUCUGAAUAUGUAUAUAUGGGUCAAUAUACUAAGGACUAUCACAGCAUUCAGCCUUGUACUUGCACAUACAUGAACGUGGAGAUGUUUUGACUGGCAGCGCUGACGUUGGUUGGAAAACGGUCCUGGAGGAGGAGAACGCAGGGCUUCAGAGGCCGAGAGGCAGAAGGAAUGAGUGGAAGAGUGCGGCCGACGGGAAGAUCUGCAGCACAAUAUCGCCAGUCAGCGAAGCAGCUCUCCUCGAACUGAAUGACUGCUAAUGCUUUUUAAAACCGCUUGAAUCCCACCAAAUAUUUAUUCUUCUAUACUGCAUACCUGCAUCUCCACCAAUAUCCAACUUUCAGUCAUUUUGGAUUUGUAACCUUUUUGUUACCUUUUACAUUUCUAUUCUGAAACAGUGAUAUAUUCAGGUUGCAACUGUGAUGUCAAAUAUAUGGAUGUGUGUGGACACAAGUAAUUUUAAUACUCCUUCUUAGCGCAUCACUGUUUUUGAGGCCAAACAGAAAUAUAGCAAAAGCAAUUGAAAAAGCCAAACCACAACACAAAUGGAGCAUAGGACCAUACAAGGGCAUCAUCACACUGAUAAGCAAUAACACAUCACAGGUUCCAGUAAAACGGUGUUUUUUUAUUUAACAGGUUUCAGGGAGCUCAGAGGAAAGGCAAUAUCAGCAAUAUCAUAACUCAUGAUGCCUGAGGAGAAAGAAAAUAUUCUCAACUAUGUACUGUCAGACUAAACUGUCAUUAGCAAUAAAACAAUACCCAGUGAACUCA
rnacentral:lncRNA from 1 species